rnacentral:rRNA from 1 species
ACAAUGAAGAGUUUGAUCCUGGCUCAGGAUGAACGCUAGCGGCAGGCCUAAUACAUGCAAGUCGAGGGGUAACGAUGGCUUCGGCCAGGCGACGACCGGCGCACGGGUGCGUAACGCGUAUGCAACCUACCUUUAACUGAGGAAUAGCCCCAAGAAAUUGGGAUUAAUACUUCAUAAUAUCUUAUUGUGGCAUCACAAAUAGAUUAAAGCUUCGGCGGUUAAAGAUGGGCAUGCGUGACAUUAGUUAGUUGGUAAGGUAACGGCUUACCAAGACUUCGAUGUCUAGGGGUUCUGAGAGGAUUUUCCCCCACACUGGUACUGAGACACGGACCAGACUCCUACGGGAGGCAGCAGUAAGGAAUAUUGGGCAAUGGACGAAAGUCUGACCCAGCCAUGCCGCGUGCAGGAUGACGGCCCUAUGGGUUGUAAACUGCUUUUAUACGGGAAGAAACCUCCGAACGUGUUCGGGAUUGACGGUACCGUAAGAAUAAGCAUCGGCUAACUCCGUGCCAGCAGCCGCGGUAAUACGGAGGAUGCAAGCGUUAUCCGGAUUCAUUGGGUUUAAAGGGUGCGCAGGCGGAAUGAUUAGUCAGUGGUGAAAGCCCUCGGCUCAACCGAGGAACUGCCAUUGAUACUGUCAUUCUUGAGUACAGUUGUAGUGGGCGGAAUGUGUCAUGUAGCGGUGAAAUGCAUAGAGAUGACACAGAACACCGAUCGCGAAGGCAGCUCACUAAGCUGAAACUGACGCUCAGGCACGAAAGCGUGGGUAGCAAACAGGAUUAGAUACCCUGGUAGUCCACGCCGUAAACGAUGAUUACUCGUUGUUGGCGAUACACUGUCAGCGACUGAACGAAAGUAUUAAGUAAUCCACCUGGGGAGUACGGUCGCAAGAUUGAAACUCAAAGGAAUUGACGGGGGCCCGCACAAGCGGAGGAGCAUGUGGUUUAAUUCGAUGAUACGC